UACGUAGGGUGCGAGCGUUGUCCGGAUUUAUUGGGCGUAAAGAGCUCGUAGGCGGUUUGUCGCGUCGGCCGUGAAAUCUCCACGCUUAACGUGGAGCGUGCGGUCGAUACGGGCAGACUUGAGUUCGGUAGGGGAGACUGGAAUUCCUGGUGUAGCGGUGAAAUGCGCAGAUAUCAGGAGGAACACCGAUGGCGAAGGCAGGUCUCUGGGAAUGUCCUGACGCUGAGGAGCGAAAGCGUGGGGAGCGAACCGG
rnacentral:rRNA from 1 species